rnacentral:rRNA from 1 species
AGAGUUUGAUCCUGGCUCAGAACGAACGCUGGCGGCAUGGAUUAGGCAUGCAAGUUGAACGAACCACUUCGGUGGUGAGUAGCGGAAGGGUGAGGAACGCGUGGAUAAUCUACCCGAUGGACCGGGAUAACAUUUCGAAAGGGGUGCUAAUACCGGAUAAGACCACGGCUUCUUAGGGGGCUGCGGUAAAAGGUGGGGACCUUCGGGCCUACCGUCAUCGGAUGAGUCCGCGUACCAUUAGCUAGUUGGUAGGGUAAGAGCCUACCAAGGCGACGAUGGUUAGCUGGUCUGAGAGGAUGAUCAGCCACACUGGAACUGAGACACGGUCCAGACUCCUACGGGAGGCAGCAGUGGGGAAUUUUGCGCAAUGGGGGAAACCCUGACGCAGCAACGCCGCGUGAGUGAUGAAGGCCCUCGGGUCGUAAAGCUCUGUCAGAGGGGAAGAAAUGCAGGGGUGCUAAUAUCAUCUUUGCUUGACGGUACCCUCAAAGGAAGCACCGGCUAACUCCGUGCCAGCAGCCGCGGUAAUACGGAGGGUGCGAGCGUUGUUCGGAAUUAUUGGGCGUAAAGCGCGUGUAGGCGGUUUGGUAAGUCUGAUGUGAAAGCCCCGGGCUCAACCUGGGAAGUGCAUUGGAAACUGUCAGACUUGAAUACGGGAGAGGGUAGUGGAAUUCCUAGUGUAUGAGUGAAAUCCGUAGAUAUUAUGAGGAACACCGGUGGCGAAAGCGGCUACCUGGACCGAUAUUGACGCUGAGACGCGAAAGCGUGGGGAGCAACAGAUUAGAUACCCUGGUAGUCCACGCCGUAACGAUGAGUACUAGUGUUUGGCGGGGUAUUGACCCCUG